rnacentral:rRNA from 1 species
CCUACGGGUGGCAGCAGUCGAGAAUUUUUCACAAUGGGCGCAAGCCUGAUGGAGCGACGCCGCGUGGGGGAUGAAGGGCUUCGGCUCGUAAACCCCUGUCAGUUGCGAACAAGGUUCACCCGAUAACACCGGGUGGAUUGAUAGUAGUGACAGAGGAAGGGACGGCUAACUCUGUGCCAGCAGCCGCGGUAAUACAGAGGUCCCGAGCGUUGUUCGGAUUCACUGGGCGUAAAGGGUGCGUAGGCGGCUUAGCAAGUCUGAUGUGAAAUCUCCAGGCCCAACCUGGAAAUGGCAUUAGAAACUGCUGGGCUGGAGGCUUGGAGGGGGAACUGGAAUGCUCGGUGUAGCAGUGAAAUGCGUAGAGAUCGAGCGGAACACCAGUGGCGAAGGCGAGUUCCUGGACAAGACCUGACGCUGAGGCACGAAAGCCAGGGGAGCAA